AGGCCAUGUUGCUUAGAUCAUCAGUUUGCCCUUGUGUUACUUGAGGAAGAAGAUCUGUUUGAGUGCUGUCUCCAUGGAGCUUUGUGAGACAGGUUCCAAGCCAGGAGGCUUGUGUUUGAAAGGAGUUUUGCUGAACAGAGUGUUCAGAGUGAAGGAUGAAGCAAGCCUGGCUCCUGAAAGAGUUUUCUUAUGGCCUCACAAGUCUGUUCCCUCAGGAGCCGCCCAGGCUGGAGUGGUUAUUACAGUCACAGCCCCUUCGUGUCACCUCAUGAUGAAAUCAGCGUGGCAUUUUGUGACUCACAACACUGUCUAAGCCGUGAAACACUUUCUGAGCCCUGAAAACAUCUCGAGCCACUGCAGGUUGAGAGCAGGAGAAAGCAGCUUGUCUCUCACUGAUGACCCAAGAGCAUCCUCUAGUGCAUAUUUAAGGUUAAUGGCUGUGUUCAUGGAGAGUAAAAUAAUUACCAGGAGGCAAUGGUGCUAAUUACACAGAGCAGAAUAAAUGUGCACAGUCAGACCCUCUGCUAACAUAAAUAGAUUUCCACAGAUUUACUCUUACGCUAUGAGACUGUUCAAAGCUUUCCUUGCCUUUCUCCCUACCCGAGAAGAGAAAUUUGGAGCCUAAGUUCUCAGAGAUGUGAACUCUUGCUCUGUAAGGACAUUGACAUAUCCAUGUUUACUUCCCAGCUUUCUAUUUUUAAGCUACCCGGCCAAAACUGCAAGAGCUCAGAUGAAGCACUCAGCUGUGCUAAAUAUUCCCAGCAUGACUGUUUUGAUGACUGAAACUCUGACUCCCAAAAUCUGUGCCUUUUGAGCUCUCCCAUGGGUCCCUGCAGCUGGGUCACAGCACUCCUUUCUGCCUGAGCUGGGAGAGAUCUCAUGUAUGUAUCUCAUCCAGUUAUACAGUCGUAUUUUCCGUUCGGGGCCCAGGCCAAACCAGUUGCAGAGGAGGCAGUGGUAGAAACUGGCUUUAGCAGUGACUCCUACAAACUGUGACAUCGUCUUUUUUAAACUGAAGUCCAUUUUAUACAAAGUGCACAACGCACUCACCUUAGAAAAGAAAGCUGAGUGGUGUUGGGUGUAAUGUCAGAACCUGGCUGCACUUCUGAUUCCUGCCAACUCCCUACUGAGAGUUGCGUUUUACUUUAGAUUUGCCAGUUACUCAGCUCUUAAUUCACUUACUUCCUAAGUUAUUAGCUACUGCCUUAACUUACAAUGAGAGAACUGCACAAUAAAUUAUCUAUUUAUUAUCUGUAUUAUUUUUAUAAAUUAUAUAAAUUAUCUGUAUUUAGUUGCUGUUGUCAGCCAAACCGAUAGUUUCACGAAAAUAGAAAAUCAAGCUUCUUUCACAAGACUUUUUUUCCCCGUAAAUCAUGUUGACCUCUGUUAUUUACACCUUUCAUUUGUUGACUUUUAUAUUAGCAUUUCAUUACUUUGCCCAGAAUUGCUAUGCUAACUGGCUUAGAACGGCCUAGCUGCUUGAGUUAUGUUUUUAUUAGUUUGUCCAAAUGCAGCAUUUCUCCAAUCCUGUAAAACGUCUGAAGUCCUCCAAGAUGAAAUGGGAGAGGAGCAGAGAUCCCUUGAGCCAAUUCACUCUGGUUGUGAGGGUGACAGUUGCAUGGACCUGUUAAGGUAAUAAUGUUUAUCCUCAGUAAUGCUGUUUAAUAGCCUCCUUGGUUACUAAUGGGAUGGAAAGUGCAUUGUCUCCUCAUGACAUCAAUGCGUGAUUCUUCUUGUUUCCAAAGUCUGAACAAAAAUAUUUAUUGAACACCUCAGUCAUCUUCACAUCAACAUCAACAAUUUGACCACUUCCAUCUUGUGAUGCUCGUGCUUCUGAAACAGCUUACAUGUAAACUAGAGCCAAAAGGCAGCUUAUUGUCCUGCUCUAUCUGAAAUCCCCACAACUGACUUAGGACCUGAUUGUUCAAGACUGCAGCAAUGCAAUCCUGAAGGCUGCUCAGGGAUGAAUGCAGCCUCCCAGGAUGCUGCUAUCUUUGUUUCUGGACGCCAACAUGACUUCAGAUUGAAAUGGGCAAUGGCUGACACAUCACAUGCUCCUACUGAUUUUGUUAAAGGUAAAGAUGGCUGCAGUUCAAGAUUUAAAUUAGUGUGAAAGGCAGCACUAUACUCUCCUUAAGCCUUAAAUUUGUUUUACAACUGCGGGCAUUUUUCAUCUGAUGUUUUUAAAAGCUGAUUUCUAGGCACCAUCCAUUCUAAGUGCUUCCAAUGUAAAAAAUUAACCAGCUGCAGCACAGAGAUGGAAGAAAAUGGAUUAACUUUGAUAACACGGCUCAGAAGUGGCAUGGACCUACAAACCUGCAGAGUGAGGCAGUGCCUGAUGGCCGCUGACAUCAGUGCUCUCUCAGUUAAUGACUAUGGUCUGUGACCAGAUCCUGUGAUUAGGGCUCUGAAGGUGCCGACUUCCAUUCAUGUGGGUUGGGUUACAUCACACAGACUGCUCUCUUCCUGGACACUCCUGGCACUUAGAGGUUCAUGUGCUGGGAGUGCCCUGGCUGUGCAAAUGCUGUGCUCUCCUCCUAUUCACUGCGUGCAUGGCUCUGCAGUGUGCAAGGAAUCACACUGUUGUUCUUGAUCUCCAAUUCUGUCCCCUUUAAGGACAAACAAAAAGCGUAUUUUAAAACAUAGGCUUUCUGGAUGAUGUUCUGCAUUUUGGUUUUGUUUUGCCUUAAAGCAGGAAAUGUCAUCUCUUGGAAAGCUAUUGUGGCCAUUAUGGGGGAGAGAAAGCAUGAACCAUGCUUCUGCAAGACGUUUGUCCUUCAGGGACAAAGAAACCUGGCAAACGUGGACAGUGCACUCUUCAAAACACUUUCAAGUAUUAACCGGAAAUUUCAAAAGUCCUUUUGUCCCACCAGUCCAGUACUGUAUUGCUCUUUACCCUCCCUUCAAGUAUGUGCAGAAUAUAUUUGCAUAAACUUUGCUGAAUUCACUGUGAAAGGGCACAGUGAGCUCUGUGCGGUUAACCUCGGCUCCUCUCCCUGUCCAGACGUGUCCCAGGCAAUCAGCUUACUGCUGAACAACAGAUCACAGGACCAGUCAGGCCACACACUGGAGAAUUUCCUGUUCUCCUCAUGUUAAUAAGAGGGCUUCUUAUAAAUGUGAUUAUUGGAGUCAAAGAUGUUGCUUAAUUUCUUUUCUUUGUGUGUUCAGCUAUUACAAGCUAUAACAACAACAAAAAAAAAUUACAGACAACACAAUCAGCCUUAACUAUACCAUCUCUUGCCCCUCCUCACUUUAUUGCCUUUCUUUUUAAAAUUCUAAUAAGUUAUCUCCAUUUUACCUAGGAUCGUGGAGGGAUUUGAUUUUCAUCUUUUCCAGGUAUACAUUAGGUUCUACUGAAUGAUGAUUUAUACUUCAGCAAUGCUGAGCAGCUCAAUGCAUAGUACAAUGUAUGCAGUUCAGUCUCUAAGCACACCACUUGGAGGACCUCUUCGUGGCAUGUCUGUGCUGUGUUUGCUCCUCUAAUCUCCACCAUGUGUUGGAGGUAAUGGAUAUGCAAACCCAGGCACUGAGAAACGCCUAACGUUAAAAUGUAGAGUGGAGAAGAUAACUCUUGAGAAUGAAUGAGAAAUUAAGACAAUGCAGAGCUAAUGAAUGUCUCUGUAUUUAAAUUCAACUCACAGUGAGUGGGUGGAAAGCUCAAGGACGUUUCUUUAAGAUCCCAAGAGGAGAAAUCUGGCCUACAGCAGCUAGGGGGAAGACAAAAUGCAGCUAGACAAGAUGGAGAGAGGAGGUGAUGUGCAUGGAAAAGGCUCUGCACUGUGAUGUGUUGCAAAAGAAUUGGCAACCGCCUCCUUAGUGAUAUUUAGCAGCAUAAUCCAUUCCAAUCUUUAAGCAAUUGGCUAUUAGGCAUGCGUGACCAGCAGAGAUUGCUGUUUUUCCUCAGAGGCCCUAUUUGCUGGUAUUACACCUGCCUCCUUGCUGCUCUGGAACUCUUGAACUGGUGCUAGAGAAAAACACAAAUCAGUGAAAAAAAUGUGCACUCCAGGGAAAGGAGAAGCAGUUUGGUGAUGGCUGCACCCUUCUCUGAGAGCUUCUAAAGCCUCCAGUAUGUGACCUGGCCAGUGAAAUACAACAUGGCCCUGCCUGCCUGCGGUAACCAGACUCAAUCAAUUGAGAGCUGCUUCUCCUGAAGAUUUUCCUGCAGAAAAUGCAGGAAAAUGCAAACAAACUGAUAUAACAAUGGCAGUCAGGCAGUUCUGUUAUCUCCUAAUGGGCACCCAUGCCGUAUGAUAGAUAUUGAAAGGGUCCAGACAACUGGCAAUGUGGUACCUCUGGUUCUUGUUCAGGUGUUACUUUGCCUUCCUCUGCCCAUCAUCUCACGUACCCACAAGUUGUUUUCAGGACUUAGCUUUCUCAUAAUGAAAGUACCCUGCAAAAUAUGAAAAUACCUUGCACUCUUGUGUCAUCUAGACCAGCGUGGAUGCAUUGAAAAAAUACCACAGUCCAUGCCUGGCUUGCCUUAUUCUGUGUCAGUAGGAAUUGCUCUGUUUACCUGAAGCAGAUGGAGCUUUUUGGUGAAAAGCACAGCUCUGAGACAUGUGCAUGUAUUUAGCUGGCACACACACUUUGCCGGGUUUUAAGAUGAUUCAAUGAAUAUGGAGAACACGGGAGUUCAUGCACCUGCUGACUAAAGAAGAUUAUCCCAAAGUAUCCUGAAUCUUUUAAUAACCUGCAAGUAAUCAAUCCGCUGCUCCUCCAUCAUGAAAAUACUGCUCUGCUGGUCUCCAUCUGGUGGCUUAUACAAUCCUAUGGUGCUGCUAAUCCAACUGUUUCCCCCAAAGAAAUAAAUAUUACUCUGAUUACUUCUUUUAAAAUGCCUGGCAAGCAUAUAAAUCUCCAGCUGAUGGCUUGCAUGCUAUAAAUAAUUAAAGCUGCCCCCCCAGUUGACCCCGUGGAAGCAGGCUGGCUUGUCCUGACACUGAUGACCUUUUCAUCCAUAUUCAUAUCAUUCCCCACUGAUCUCAAAUGAUGGAAGCACAGUGCUGAAGAUCAAUACAGCAGGAUAUGGUUUAGCUUCCACCAGAUAGAAAAUGCGUGAAUCUCCAAGUAAAUUAUUCUCUGCAGGCCAAUAAAUUAAAAAACUUCCCUCCUUGUAAGGCCUUCACCUCCGCAGUGGAUAUUACUGUAGAGAUGUUCUUCAGUUUAAAGGAAUUGUGAUAUUUUCUUUUAUGUAUGUUAGAUACUCCAUCAAAGCUUUCCAUCUUACAGGCAAAAAGUAUAGUGCAAUAGAAUGUAACAAGCCAGUAAGAUAGUUUCUAGCAGAACUGACCUUUUCAUUAAACAUGAAUGGUGCGUUCUAGUAUCAGUUAGCAGAACAAAUGCUUCUUGCUAUGAGUUGUCCAGAGAAGCAGCAAUCUACUCUAACCUAAAAAUCUCUCUUCUUUAUUUACCUUAUUUAUAAGGCCAGCAAAGAAAUUUCAACAAUCCUGGAUUUCCUGUGUAAUACAUUAUUUUGAUAAAAAUGUACAGGGGCGUCUUCUCUUUUUUCAUGAGGUCUCAUUCACCUGUUGUGUAUUUUCUAAGUCUGGUCUCUGAGACAAGGAAGAAAUCUGUGCAGUUCAUAAAUCAGUGAUCUGCAGUUGAAUGACAGUCUCAGUUUUCCUUAACUGAUGCUUAAAUUCGAAUCAGGAUUUUCAUCCUUGAUAGGACCAAUGGUUUUAAAUUGAGACAAGGGAGAUUUAAGUUAGAUAUUAGGAGGAAGUUUUUCACACAG